AUAUAAAUAUCAGUACCAUAUGUUCAUAGUCUAUAGUUCAAUUGAUCACAUCAUAUAAAGAAAUGAUCUAUUAUUUUACAUACUAAAAGUACAGAUAGAUGGCUAAAAAUUCCCACAAAAAAUCAAAACAUCUGGUCGUCAAUUUGGUACAUCAGAAAAUCAUUGCCCUUAAAUAGUUAAAUCUGGAAAAAUAUAUUUUUGCAUUUGAUGUUGACAGAAAUUACCCACCAAUGCCACCCUAAACUAAUUUUCCUCCCGCCCUUUACCCUGCCGCACCACUCCUCGGCUCUGAUACUCUCACGUUGGGCUCCCCAUCCACAUGACGCACCUCUCAAUCACUCGAGGUAAGGUUUCUCAACUCCUCCAGGCGCCUACCUCCGGCGAUCAACUAACCUGCCACAACUCCACCUUCAGACAACAGCCUUGCCCUCUCUUCCACCUGCUUCCUAUCCACGAUUUAUCAGAUCCAUCCAAGAUUUUGGUGACCCUAGCAGCAGCUGCUCCGAUCCUCUCCUCCCUUGGUUCACAGCUCCUCUCAAAGAGUAACUUCUUGGCCAUGCUCGCGUCCUUUGUGCGUGCACAUUAAUUUGGUUUGAGCCGCUUGCAGCCUCCAACUAUUAGGUUCUUCCCGCGUGCUCCGCAUGGAAAUCAGAUGACAUCGCCUUGCUUGCGCAGAACAUAAAGUUCAGAGCUCGAUUUGAGGUUAUUCUAUAACAUGCAGACGGAACACACAGCAAGAACUUCACAAAGCAAUUUUUGAUCCUUCCAUUGUUGUCCAAUGUAUUUCUUUUAUUUUCUGAUCAGCAGGUGCACUGUUAAACUGAAGCCAAAUACUUAUCAUGUCUCAACCACCCCCUUCAGUUUGGAAAUUAUGAAAGGUAUGUAGGACAUGCACACUGAUGAUUCCUGGUGACAGAAUGAAAAGCAAUAAUUUAUUAUGUUGUAUCCAAUCUGCAUUUGAAUUGAUGCACUUCUGACUUCAAAUUGAUGUCCAUCUGGAAAAGCCACUACGACAUCAGCAGCAGUUAGCAGUAGGUAGGUACAACCAACGGUUGAUCCCAUUCCUGUGGCAAUGAGCACAUCAGGGAAAGACAGCCAAAUCAGGUAGCUCUAAGAGCUAGCAGCGCCUAGAACUAAGAAGACUUCACUAUGGUUUAUAUGAGUCCUAGAACUGAUACAUGAACCACUACAGAUAUUGAAUUGAACCAUUUGACUGUGAUGACAAUCUAGAUAGUUAAUACUCACCCUGGUAUUGUAGGCUUAAUUUUCCUGAUUUGUUUGGUGUAAAGGUUACAAUACGUGUUUAUAUGUUGUUAUGGUAUAAUGACCUUUUCUCUUCUUUGGAUUAUCAGUUAUAUGGACUGACAAGAUCACAAACAAAAAGUUGGUGAUGACAAUUGUGGAGAUUUCAGACGACCAUCUACUCUUCCUCACCUUCCCAAUCAACACUCUAGAUUUGCUAUCUUUUACAUAUGUAUAUUAACUAAGUCUAGACCUAACAAAUCAAGCAUAUAUUUAUGUUUGCUACUUUAUACUCAGUUUGAUAGUAUAUUACUCAUUUAGUUUCUUUCACCUGAUGUCUUCAUUUAUGUUUUCGUCCUAUAUUCUACAUAAAACUAGAACCAUAGUUCAUCUGUAGUCAAA